CUAACCCGAUAGAAUCCAGAGGGUAUCAAUAGACAUUCUUUGGCCCUGACUCAUUCCAUUCUGAUAACAUUUCUUGGCCUGAGAUGAAAAAAAUUUAUUUAUCACAAGUUCGUAGUAUUCCAUAAGCUCCAUGCAUACGUCAAUUUCAUUUCACGUCGCUAUACGUGGAAAAAUUAGGCAAUUUCAUCAAACUGACAAAAUUAUUGAAAAACCAUUUUUUAAUAUAAUAUACACCCAAAAAUAUAAAGCUCCCAUAUUUAUAUUUACACUUAUCGCAAUUUAAAAACUCAACUUUCAACGACUGCAAAGGUGCCGUUUAGAAGGAAAAACAAUUAAAAUAGUAUUACUUUCAGAGUAUACAAUUAUAUAAAUACUCUCGUGCUGCUAAACACAAAAUGAGGGAAUUAUUAUGCAAGAAAAAAUGAUAGAGCAUUUGGCUCAAACGCCACAAGGCAGGGUAGUAGAGAUUCAUCGUUCAAGUGCCAAGGUUCUGAAAUUACUCAGCACCCUUAUCUCCGUUAUCUCUUAUGGAUUAUUCAUGUCUUUAAAGUGGAUAAUUCCAGACUCAUGAAAUUGUUAUGUGCUCUGUCUGAAAAGGCAAUAUUUUGACAAAUCUACAAAGAAUUUGGAACACGCAGAUGAAACUAACCAUAAGAAUUUGAUAUUAUAUCGCAAGUCUCGUUCUCGGUGAUACUAAUUGUACCCAUGCUUGUCAUGCCUUGAAUCACAACGUUUAAUGAAGGACUGAAGAUUCAAAGAUUUCGUGACACCCGGCGGCUUUUAUUUCACAAAACCCAAACCCGAGAUAUUUUACUUACCGCCAAACGCUUUUUGUCACUAGUCACUAUCUGUAUUUAUUUAAUAAAAUUCCUACUUAUAAAAAA